CUGUUCACUUUGGCAGCACACAUUAUAAAGUUGGAAUAAUAGAGAAGAUAAGCAGGCUCCUGCAUAAUGAUGGCAUGCAAAUUUGUGAAGCCUCCCACAGUUUU
ensembl:snRNA U6 U6 spliceosomal RNA